AGAUUGAACGCUGGCGGCAGGCCUAACACAUGCAAGUCGAGCGGCAGCACGGGUACUUGUACCUGGUGGCGAGCGGCGGACGGGUGAGUAAUGCCUAGGAAUCUGCCUGGUAGUGGGGGAUAACGCUCGGAAACGGACGCUAAUACCGCAUACGUCCUACGGGAGAAAGCAGGGGACCUUCGGGCCUUGCGCUAUCAGAUGAGCCUAGGUCGGAUUAGCUAGUUGGUGAGGUAAUGGCUCACCAAGGCGACGAUCCGUAACUGGUCUGAGAGGAUGAUCAGUCACACUGGAACUGAGACACGGUCCAGACUCCUACGGGAGGCAGCAGUGGGGAAUAUUGGACAAUGGGCGAAAGCCUGAUCCAGCCAUGCCGCGUGUGUGAAAAAGGUCUUCGGAUUGUAAAGCACUUAAGUUGGAGGAAGGCAGUUACCUAAUACGUUGCAACUUUGACGUUACGACAGAAUAAGCACCGGCUAACUUCGCGCCAGCAGCCG
rnacentral:rRNA from 1 species